CUUCUUGUUUUUUUUUAAAAUUAAUUUAAUUCAGUUACCUUAGAAAUAAAUAAUGCCGUUGCUUUUUUGUUCAACAUAACCUUGUCAGUAAUUAACAUCGUCAAUUAUUGAGAUACUCUGAAAAUCAAAGGAUCUGAAUGAAUAAAUAUUAUAUUCUCAAUCCACCCUCACUCUGUUAGACAACUACUUGAAGACUCACAAUCUGAAAAUGAAGAUACAUGCUUUAUUCGAUUGGUAACUGAGCGUGAAUCAAUAUUAUUAAGUCUGAAAAUAAUGUUUUCGUAGCAGCUAGUCCAUAUUUUUGUUAUCAGUUUUGAAAAAAGCAACAAUUGAAAUCUUGUUGAUAUGAGUUAGAUUCCACCGUUUUACUUA